GUCUGCUGCCUGCUGAUGGAGGCUGCGCCGCAUCCACCAGGCAGGGCUCUGCACGCAUGCCCGUCUUCCCCGGCGUUUAGUGGUGUCAACUUAUUAAUUUCCAUCUUCGACUUCAGGCCUGUUAGUUUCCUGUCUGAAAGCAUUAUUACUUUUGUCCAUGUGGCAAAAUAAUUAGCAUACAGAUGAGAAGUGGCCCCGUGUCUGCGCGCCGAUAGAGAGAAGAUGUGCGGUUCGAAGUUGAUUGGAUGAAUGGAGAACAAAUGGUGGGCGUUCAAAAGCAUUAGAAGAGUUUUGUAGUCGCGGAGCAGGCUGGAGAAUUUUCUGGGGGUCCCACAGAGGCUGCAGCUGAGGUCUGGGUGUGUGCAAUUCUCAGCUGGGCUUUGCCCUACCCAGGUUGACGACUGAAGAAUCACAGAGUGUGGAAAAGAACACAAGGAGAAAUUGGUGAGAACAUCUGCCUAGCAUCUCCAAGUCCUGUGGAGGGAGCCAGCAGUGCUGGUCCAAAGAGGACCCAGAGAGUGAACUCAGAGUGACCACAUCUGAUAGAAGAGGGGAAGAUGUAGUUUCUGAGUCCAGUCCAGUGUUUGUGUCUCUCACAUUGUCAACAAAAGAAAGGCUCCAGCUGUCCCCACAGACAUAUGGAUAUUCCAGGAGCCACGUAAAGAUGGAGAAAUGGAGGCACAGAGAAAUUAAGUGACUUGGCCACAGUCACAAGCUGGGGAGGACCAGGGAAAGCCUAGAGAGAGCUGGCUCUGGGCCUGCAUCCUGCCCACGGAGUCACCCUGCCUCCGUCCUCAGGAGAGAAGGCUUCCUACAAGAUGGACGUGGACUCUGAGGAGAAGCGCCAUCGCACACGGUCCAAAGGGGUUCGAGGUAAGCCUAUGUUCCCCAUGUCCCCGAGGCUGGCUAGGUAGCCCUCAUCCCACAGAAAUGCUAUAUCAGUUUACUCUGACCCCUGAUCCCCAACACCACCAACCUUUUGGUAAUUUUCCGUGGAAGAAGAGUACCAGUGACACACGAUAAAUUUUUAUCUGUUUUCCAUCUUUCUGCAGUUCCUGUGGAGCCAGCCAUACAAGAGCUGUUCAGGUUAGUACUUUGUGGGUGGAAGGCAUCCCCAGCAGUGGUUCAGAAAAUUCGCCUCUGAAUGGAUGCACUGUAUUUAAAAAUUCACGGGCAGCUUCCUCACAGCCUGCUAUAAUGAUUAAACUAGUUCCCCAAAACUGCUGAUAAAGAACAUCCUCCCUUGGUCAUCUCUGUCUGUCUGUCGGUCUGUUGGUCUGUCUGUCAAUCUCUGUCUGUCAAUCUCUCUCUCUCUCUCUCUCUCUCUCAGAGGCCCAUCACCAUCAGUGCCCACGGAAUCCCAUUCAGCUAUAUAAUGAGCUCUUUCCUGUUGCAGCUGUCCCACUCCAGGCUGCGACGGCAGUGGUCACGUCAGUGGCAAAUAUGCACGACACAGAAGGUAAUGCCUGCCUUUUUCACAAUGUGCUGUCUAAGAUGGCUUGUUUAGAGACCCAAUGCAAGUGAAGACAUGUGGGUAGGUGUUCGGGGAUAUAAUGCAUGCUAUCCUUGCCUUCUUUUCUCUCACUUCUCCAUGUUCUUCCAUCUCCUAUACAGUUCUCAAAGCAUAAGCCACUCUAUGCCACAAUCUUAACAAUAUACAAAUUGGCAAAAAUUACGAUGAGUCUCACAUUAUCACCCAUGAGCCCAUGCUCAGCCUACAGAGGGCCUGGGGCUUCUUACGAUCCUUGAGGACCUCUUAUCCUUGUCUCCUCACUUCUCCCUCCAUGAGCUGAGGAUGGUGAACCUCUGAAGUUAAAUUAACACAGGACCUGCUGAACUUUCUGCAGCAACUUUGGUCCCAUCCAUCAUCUGAGAGAUCUUCUGCUGGGACACACAGACUGAAAUGACACCCAGACAACUGCAGUGAUUGCACAGGGGUUGAAAGUUAGGACAGAUCACACUCGUAGUCCUGGAAAAAUAUGGUUCUGCUGUGAAACCCACAAAUACUGGGGUUUCACAUCCCUAGUGGCAAGGGCUCCAAAGCACAUGUAGAAGAAAGGUAUCUACAAACUCACCACAGUGAGAGCGCCUUACACACCCCUGUGACACUCAUGUUGGCUUCACAUGUGCUCUGACAGGAAGCACAGGUGGGUCCUUCCUGCUGUAUGACAGCCCCAGACAUGGUAGGUGAGUAGUGCUUGCUAGUAAUAAUGAUAUUGUUCUCACUUAUUUUUGAGAAGUCAAGUUGUAAGGAGUAAGGUCAUCCUUUUCUACAAACUUCCCACAGCCAGACUGAUCUUAUCAGACAUGAGUGCUCUGGGGAUACUCAGGGUGACCUCUCUUUUGUCUUCAUUCUCUGUUUCGUCUCCAGUGAAACAUUCAUUUGUGGGUGAAAUCAAGCCAUUAUUUUGAUUGUCACUUUGUAAAAAAAAAAAAAAAAAUCAAAGGAAAAUUUAUGCACCUUCCCCAGAUCCCCAUGCUGGCACAGAAGGACACAUGGGAUCGCUUAAUGAGUGCCCAUCAUGAGAUCGCUGUCUGGCCUCCUCCAUGACAUACCAAAGGACACCUGGGCCACUGUUCUCUAGGAAUGUUUUGCUUUCAAUUACUAAGUUUAAUGUGUUAUAUCACUCUUCAUACAGCAUAUAAUUGUAAGUUGCUUAAUCAGAUGAGAUGGAUAACUAAGAUAUAAACAUUGCUUUGUGGAGAAGCACACAUGUGAGGUCUUAGUAUAUGUGCUUAAAGACUGCAUUGUGCACCCAACAGAAAAAAUAGUUGGCAAACUGUGGGUAGUAUCUAUUUUCUCCUAAUCAUCUCCUUAUUGGUGAUAUUUAGUGUUUAUUACACUGUUAUGAAAAGAAAUUAUUACAUUUGGUUACACAAAUUUUUAACUGGGAUUGUGAUAGAUAUUUCAUGGCCAGAGAUUUGUAAAGGAAGAAGAGAUAAAAGAAAGG
rnacentral:lncRNA from 1 species